rnacentral:lncRNA from 1 species
GUCGUAAAAGGGGACGCGGAGGAGAAGGAAAGUCGCUCAAGCAGUGGACAGAGCGGAGAAAGCGACUUCGGGUCUGCUGGAGUUUGCUGGAGGUGCACUCCAGACUCUGUUUGCCUGCCUAUCACCAACAGAGGCUGCAGAACAGCAAAGAUUGCUGUCUGUAACUUCCUCUGGAAGCUUCAUCCCAGAGGGGCACCUGCCAGAUGCCAGCCGGAGCUCUCCUCUAUGAGUGAAUGAAGGAGGGAAGAAAGGAGAGACAGAGAAAAUAUGGAUUUCCUCAUGGUUGUGAUUCCUCUUCACUCUUUUGAAUUUGGAAGGAUGGCAUACACAUCUGAAAAAUACCACUACUUCCUUCAUUGGACUGCAAGGUAUUUCUGUUUGGAAAAGUAAUGGAGUCCAGUCAACUUCAUUGAUCGCCAAGGACUGUCAAAAUUAUAAAACUUGCUGUGGAGCUCUGACAUGCCAGAAGCCGCUAGAAAAAGAAGUUUGACAUUCAGAAACUUAUCAAGAGGUUCUACUCUUUGGAUAGAGACCAAAAUCAUACUUUGAAUGAUAUGCAAUGCAAGACUCCCAAGAUUCUGGGCAGUGGCAGGGAGGUGCAGCUUCUAGUCUGCCGCAUGAUCACAAUGUCAGCUGGUCCCUCUUCUCAGGUGUAGAUCACCUAUUAUAAUUUUACCUAAUUUUGAUACUCUGAUAAGGAAAGUCCCAGGACUUAUCAGCUGGGAUAGGCCUCACUUACAAGACAGCUCUGUUCAGUAUUUGGAAGAAAGCCUGACAGGUUUCUUCGGAAAAGUGGCCAUCCAUGGAAUGAAUGAAAUGUUCUCUUUCUAUUCCAGGGAUUGCAGUGGCAAAGCUAGGCUAGGUCUUGGAGGCUGGUGUAAGGCGAUGUGGGUGAAGGCAGGAGGCUGAUGGAAAGACUGGGGGGAAGAAAAGCCGAAAUGGAUUCACGGUGCCUUGGAUGAAGGACGAGAGGGGAACUGCAAGCUCCUUCAACUGGUUCUGUCCGGUGAGAAGUGAUCAAGCUUGGGCUGACAAGAGGCUCAGGGAGCCCUCACGUUCUUUCGCUUUUUUACCUGCCAAUCAAACUGCUACAAGACAACACCCUGAUCUGGCAUGGACAUCGCGGGUCCAAGCCUGUAGCCCCAAAUCGGAUAAUCUCUGCAGCUGAUAACAAGCAAAAGAGAAGCCAGGCAACAGCCAUAUUAAAGAAGAAAACAAUCAACUCUGAGGAUGGCUGCCAGGGAAUAGAUGAAAGGCAGAAGUGGCGAUGGGUGACUGAUGUGGCACACUUAUGAAGAAAAGCCUCUUUUUCCAUGCUUGUUUUUCCUCCCCAAGGAGCCAACAGAGUUUCUAUUCUCCAACUCUGCUCUUCACCUUACCCAAGUCAUUGCAGUCACCUGGAGUCACGGAAAUGACCAUGAUUGCCUGAACUUUCAUGACUUCUGUGGAUAACUGUGGUUGCAGAAAAGAGAAAACCUGGACCGUGAGGGACAUUUCACUCCCUGGGCUUUGCCUUGGUUGUUUACUUGUAUCUAAGACAGAGGUGUCCAAUAUUUUGGCUUCCCUGGGCCACAAUGGAAGAAGAAUAGUCUUGGGCCACACAUAAAAUACACUAAUGCUAACAAUAGCUGAUGAGCUAAAAAAUAAAAAUAAAAAUACGCCGGGCACGGUGGCCCACACCUGGAAUCCCAGCACUUUGGGACGACGAGGCAGGCGGAUCACAA